rnacentral:lncRNA from 1 species
GUGCCCUCUGUGACUGAUAGUCCACUAACAAGUGUAAUGAACCAGUGGUUAUACAAAAAUUUAAAGUAUAAUAUUGGUGUAUGCAAUAAUUCUAUGCCUGAGAGCUUACAUAGGCUAUGCCUGUUGCCCAAUCCAAUUAAAUUUAUUUGAAUAAAAUAUUGUUUAAACUAAUUCUAUACAUUGAAUGAAUAAAGGUAACAUAUGUACCCACUAUUUGUAUAAAGCUUUAUAUAUCAGAUGGUAGAUAGCUGGUAAACCGCUUAUAGUGGCAGAGUAAUUUACUAAGCCUCAAAAACUGAACAUUGGAAAACUAAAUUAUAUAAUGAGGCACAUCAUCUAUAUAAAUGUUAAAGAGGGGUCUUCCCAAUAUUAAUUUAUCAAGCUAGGUUUAGUAAAGGUUGAA